rnacentral:rRNA from 1 species
CCUACGGGAGGCAGCAGUGGGGAAUAUUGGACAAUGGGCGAAAGCCUGAUCCAGCCAUGCCGCGUGUGUGAAGAAGGCCUUCGGGUUGUAAAGCACUUUCAGUGGGGAAGAAAGCCUUGGGGCUAAUACCCUCGAGGAAGGACAUCACCCACAGAAGAAGCACCGGCUAACUCCGUGCCAGCAGCCGCGGUAAUACGGAGGGUGCGAGCGUUAAUCGGAAUUACUGGGCGUAAAGCGCGCGUAGGCGGUCUGAUAAGCCGGUUGUGAAAGCCCCGGGCUCAACCUGGGAACGGCAUCCGGAACUGUCAGGCUAGAGUGCAGGAGAGGAAGGUAGAAUUCCCGGUGUAGCGGUGACAUGCGUAGAGAUCGGGAGGAAUACCAGUGGCGAAGGCGGCCUUCUGGACUGACACUGACGCUGAGGUGCGAAAGCGUGGGUAGCAAACAGGAUUAGAUACCCGGGUAGUC